AGCACUGUAGCACAGCUGGAAGUGCGCCGGUCUCAUAAUUUGUCUGCUCGACAUUUGAGUAAUCCGGAGGUCGCUUGAUCGAGACGAGCCGUUGCUA